rnacentral:rRNA from 1 species
GGUUUAAAGGGUCCGUAGGCGGGUUGUAGAGUCAGUGGUGAAAGUCUGCAGCUCAACUGUAGAACUGCCAUUGAUACUGCAUACCUUGAGUAAUUAUGAAGUGGUUAGAAUAUGUAGUGUAGCGGUGAAAUGCAUAGAUAUUACAUAGAAUACCGAUUGCGAAGGCAGAUCACUAAUAAUUUACUGACGCUGAUGGACGAAAGCGUAGGUAGCGAACAGGAUUAGAUACCCUGGUAGUCUACGCCGUAAACGAUGGUUACUAGCUGUUCGGCUCGAUGAGAGCUGAGUGGCUAAGCGAAAGUGAUAAGUAACCCACCUGGGGAGUACGUUCGCAAGAAUGAAACUCAAAGGAAUUGACGGGGGCCCGCACAAGCGGUGGAGCAUGUGGUUUAAUUCGAUGAUACGCGAGGAACCUUACCAGGGCUUAAAUGUAGCUUGACAGGGGUGGAAACACCUUUUCCUUCGGGCAAGUUACAAGGUGCUGCAUGGUUGUCGUCAGCUCGUGCCGUGAGGUGUCAGGUUAAGUCCUAUAACGAGCGCAACCCCUGUGGUUAGUUGCCAGCGAGUAAUGUCGGGAACUCUAGCCAGACUGCCGGUGCAAACCGUGAGGAAGGUGGGGAUGACGUCAAAUCAUCACGGCCCUUACGUCCUGGGCCACACACGUGCUACAAUGGUAGGGACAGAGAGCAGCCACUGGGUGACCAGGAGCGAAUCUAUAAACCCUAUCACAGUUCGGAUCGGAGUCUGCAACUCGACUCGGUGAAGCUGGAAUCGCUAGUAAUCGCAUAUCAGC